UUGGUGAAAACCAAAGAGAGAGAGGUAUAUCACUGUUAAUGAUAAAAUUGAGUUUUACUCUCACCAAG
rnacentral:tRNA from 1 species